GAUGAACGCUGGCGGCGUGCCUAAUACAUGCAAGUCGAGCGAACAGACGAGGAGCUUGCUCUUCUGACGUUAGCGGCGGACGGGUGAGUAACACGUGGAUAACCUACCUAUAAGACUGGGAUAACUUCGGGAAACCGGAGCUAAUACCGGAUAAUAUCUUGAACCGCAUGGUUCAAUAGUGAAAGACGGUUUUGCUGUCACUUAUAGAUGGAUCCGCGCCGCAUUAGCUAGUUGGUAAGGUAACGGCUUACCAAGGCAACGAUGCGUAGCCGACCUGAGAGGGUGAUCGGCCACACUGGAACGGAGACACGGUCCAGACUCCUACGGGAGGCAGCAGUAGGGAAUCUUCCGCAAUGGGCGAAAGCCUGACGGAGCAACGCCGCGUGAGUGAUGAAGGUCUUCGGAUCGUAAAACUCUGUUAUUAGGGAAGAACAAAUGUGUAAGUAACUAUGCACGUCUUGACGGUACCUAAUCAGAAAGCCACGGCUAACUACGUG
rnacentral:rRNA from 1 species